rnacentral:tRNA from 1 species
AAGAGCUUAAGUUAGUGGUAGACUAUCUAUCUCCGAAGUAGAUUGCGUUGGUUCGAUUCCAACAGCUCUUGCCA